AUUGAACGCUGGCGGCAGGCCUAACACAUGCAAGUCGAACGGUAGCACAGAGAGCUUGCUCUCGGGUGACGAGUGGCGGACGGGUGAGUAACGUCUGGGAAACUGCCCGAUGGAGGGGGAUAACUACUGGAAACGGUAGCUAAUACCGCAUAACGUCGCAAGACCAAAGUGGGGGACCUUCGGGCCUCACACCAUCGGAUGUGCCCAGAUGGGAUUAGCUAGUAGGUGGGGUAAUGGCUCACCUAGGCGACGAUCCCUAGCUGGUCUGAGAGGAUGAACGGCCACACUGGAACUGAGACACGGUCCAGACUCCUACGGGAGGCAGCAGUGGGGAAUAUUGCACAAUGGGCGCAAGCCUGAUGCAGCCAUGCCGCGUGUAUGAAGAAGGCCUUCGGGUUGUAAAGUACUUUCAGCGGGGAGGAAGGCGGUGAAGUUAAUAACUUCACCGAUUGACGUUACCCGCAGAAGAAGCACCGGCUAACUCCGUGCCAGCAGCCGCCGUAA
rnacentral:rRNA from 1 species